UUAGAGGAGAAAUAGAUGGAUUAUGUUAAACUCGUGGAACCCUUUGGCCAUCUCUUCUCGCUUCUCUCUUCUCUCUUCUCCCUUCUCCGAAUUGAAUUUUUCGGCGCUGGGAGACGAGAAGCCGGCGAUUGUGACGGCCAAUCGUGAUCUCGUGAAAGCGAUCGAGAGCUUUUGAUUCCCGUCGUUGAUUCUGGUGACAAGGCGAUGGUUCUUCUUCGAAGCCGUCUUCUUCUUCUUCGCAUCAAUCCAGCCACGAGCUUGUUCAUUAGGCGUUGGGCAGGUCAUGACUGGCUAGUAAGCAAAAAUCACUACCAUCUCCAGUUCGAUUUCUAAUUCAUCCGUCAUGACCUCACAAGCUUGAAUUCCUAUUCAUAAAAAGCUCAAAGAUCUUUGUAAGCAUCAUGUUGAUGGAUUCUCUGCUGUUCUAGUUCACAAGAAGAAUAUAUUCAAGGGAUUACAUUGGACUAGUGUUGUUGUGGAAUUGAAAUUGAAUUGCUUUGUUUGUAUAGAGUUUAACUCUGCUCGUCUCUUUAUACUUGAUUCAAUGAUUAUUCCCUUCGGAUAUUUAGCUUUAGUGAUUGAAACUGUGUUUUGUUCAAAGCUUUCCCGGUGUCAUCAAUGUUGGCAGAUCAGUUAAUGCUGAAGCAGAACCAUCUGCUGCUGCUGGAGCGCAGAUGAAUGAAAUGAGUGGUCUGCAAGCCUUCCCCCUUUAAAAUUACCAAAAACUUCGUUGCCGCUAGUGGCGAAUAAAAUUUCAACCAGAGGUACGGAGUAACUUAGGCACCAUCUAAGAGUCAGGUGAGAUAUUUCACCAUCUUCGUCAACCGUGCCCAGAACCAACAGCUUACCUCGGCAUCUGAUGACAUUUUUUUGAUUUUGCAAUCUGGAUUAGCUAAGAUCAGAAGUCAUUUGCAUAUGAAUCGUCUCUGCUCACCAAAGCAAGGACAUGUUUAGAGUAUAGUGGCGAAUGUGUCUUCUCUAAUUCAACCGGAGAGCUUAUUCAAAUCUAUAACUUGUUUCGUAUAGUCAGUCCCAAUUGAGAAUUUGUGAAAGCUGCUGCCUUCUGAGUCUUGCAAUUGAGCAUUCUAGUUCUGGAUUAGUUUGAGUUUGUGUGAUUGUUAACCGCAGGACAAGAAGUGGAGUAUAGACUGUGGGAUCAUUAACAAUUUUUAAGGAAUGUCUCAUGUUGUGUGCUUGUCAUCUCUCUAAGGACGCUGCUUUUAUUAGGUUCAAACUGAAAGGAAGAAUAUGUGGCUUUACUUUUAGAAUUUUAGCUUUAGAAUUUGAUACUUGAUUCAAUGACUACUAUGUUAGUAUAUUUUGUUUACUUUGGAAUGUUAACCUCUAUAUACUUGAUUCAAUGACUACUCCAUUCGGAUAUGUCUCGAUAAUGUGUUUUGAUGGUUAUAAUUCCAUAAGGUAUUUUCUC